CACUUGGAGCAUAACUAGUAUAAGAGGCACCNCCCCCCCAGUGACUUAAUCGUUAAACGGCCGCGGUAUCUUGACCGUGCAAAGGUAGCAUAAUCACUUGUUCUCUAAAUAAGGACUUGUAUGAAUGGCCACACGAGGGUUUUACUGUCUCUUACUUUUAAUCAGUGAAAUUGACCUCCCCGUGAAGAGGCGGGGAUAAUAAAAUAAGACGAGAAGACCCUAUGGAGCUUUAAUUAAUCAACUCAAAAGAAAUCACAAAACAAUACCACCAAGGGAUAACAAAAUUUUAUAUGGGUUGACAAUUUCCGUUGGGGUGACCUCGGAGCACAAAAAAUCCUCCGAGUGAUUAAAACAUAGGCCUACUAGCCAAAGUGUAACAUCACUUAUUGAUCCAAAUUCUUGAUCAACGGAACAAGUUACCCUAGGGAUAACAGCGCAAUCCUAUUCUAGAGUCCAUAUCGACAAUAGGGUUUACGACCUCGAUGUUGGAUCAGGACAUCCUGAUGGUGCAGCAGCUAUUAAGGGUUCGUUUGUUCAACGAUUAAAGUCCU
rnacentral:rRNA from 1 species